rnacentral:rRNA from 1 species
UUUAUGGGGUGACUGCGUACCUUUUGUAUAAUGGGUCAGCGACUUAUAUUCUGUAGCAAGGUUAACCGAAUAGGGGAGCCGAAGGGAAACCGAGUCUUAACUGGGCGUUAAGUUGCAGGGUAUAGACCCGAAACCCGGUGAUCUAGCCAUGGGCAGGUUGAAGGUUGGGUAACACUAACUGGAGGACCGAACCGACUAAUGUUGAAAAAUUAGCGGAUGACUUGUGGCUGGGGGGGAAAGGCCAAUCAAACCGGGAGAUAGCUGGUUCUCCCCGAAAGCUAUUUAGGUAGCGCCUCGUGAAUUCAUCUCCGGGGGUAGAGCACUGUUUCGGCAAGGGGGUCAUCCCGACUUACCAACCCGAUGCAAACUGCGAAUACCGGAGAAUGUUAUCACGGGAGACACACGGCGGGUGCUAACGUCCGUCGUGAAGAGGGAAACAACCCAGACCGCCAGCUAAGGUCCCAAAGUCAUGGUUAAGUGGGAAACGAUGUGGGAAGGCCCAGACAGCCAGGAUGUUGGCUUAGAAGCAGCCAUCAUUUAAAGAAAGCGUAAUAGCUCACUGGUCGAGUCGGCCUGCGCGGAAGAUGUAACGGGGCUAAACCAUGCACCGAAGCUGCGGCAGCGACGCUUAUGCGUUGUUGGGUAGGGGAGCGUUCUGUAAGCCUGUGAAGGUGGCCUGUGAGGGUUGCUGGAGGUAUCAGAAGUGCGAAUGCUGACAUAAGUAACGAUAAAGCGGGUGAAAAGCCCGCUCGCCGGAAGACCAAGGGUUCCUGUCCAACGUUAAUCGGGGCAGGGUGAGUCGACCCCUAAGGCGAGGCCGAAAGGCGUAGUCGAUGGGAAACAGGUUAAUAUUCCUGUACUUGGUGUUACUGCGAAGGGGGGACGGAGAAGGCUAUGUUGGCCGGGCGACGGUUGUCCCGGUUUAAGCGUGUAGGCUGGUUUUCCAGGCAAAUCCGGAAAAUCAAGGCUGAGGCGUGAUGACGAGGCACUACGGUGCUGAAGCAACAAAUGCCCUGCUUCCAGGAAAAGCCUCUAAGCAUCAGGUAACAUCAAAUCGUACCCCAAACCGACACAGGUGGUCAGGUAGAGAAUACCAAGGCGCUUGAGAGAACUCGGGUGAAGGAACUAGGCAAAAUGGUGCCGUAACUUCGGGAGAAGGCACGCUGAUAUGUAGGUGAAGCGGUUUACCCGUGGAGCUGAAAUCAGUCGAAGAUACCAGCUGGCUGCAACUGUUUAUUAAAAACACAGCACUGUGCAAACACGAAAGUGGACGUAUACGGUGUGACGCCUGCCCGGUGCCGGAAGGUUAAUUGAUGGGGUCAGCCGCAAGGCGAAGCUCUUGAUCGAAGCCCCGGUAAACGGCGGCCGUAACUAUAACGGUCCUAAGGUAGCGAAAUUCCUUGUCGGGUAAGUUCCGACCUGCACGAAUGGCGUAAUGAUGGCCAGGCUGUCUCCACCCGAGACUCAGUGAAAUUGAACUCGCUGUGAAGAUGCAGUGUACCCGCGGCAAGACGGAAAGACCCCGUGAACCUUUACUAUAGCUUGACACUGAACAUUGAGCCUUGAUGUGUAGGAUAGGUGGGAGGCUUUGAAGCGUGGACGCCAGUCUGCGUGGAGCCGACCUUGAAAUACCACCCUUUAAUGUUUGAUGUUCUAACGUGGACCCGUGAUCCGGGUUGCGGACAGUGUCUGGUGGGUAGUUUGACUGGGGCGGUCUCCUCCUAAAGAGUAACGGAGGAGCACGAAGGUUGGCUAAUCCUGGUCGGACAUCAGGAGGUUAGUGCAAUGGCAUAAGCCAGCUUGACUGCGAGCGUGACGGCGCGAGCAGGUGCGAAAGCAGGUCAUAGUGAUCCGGUGGUUCUGAAUGGAAGGGCCAUCGCUCAACGGAUAAAAGGUACUCCGGGGAUAACAGGCUGAUACCGCCCAAGAGUUCAUAUCGACGGCGGUGUUUGGCACCUCGAUGUCGGCUCAUCACAUCCUGGGGCUGAAGUAGGUCCCAAGGGUAUGGCUGUUCGCCAUUUAAAGUGGUACGCGAGCUGGGUUUAGAACGUCGUGAGACAGUUCGGUCCCUAUCUGCCGUGGGCGCUGGAGAACUGAGGGGGGCUGCUCCUAGUACGAGAGGACCGGAGUGGACGCAUCACUGGUGUUCGGGUUGUCAUGCCAAUGGCACUGCCCGGUAGCUAAAUGCGGAAGAGAUAAGUGCUGAAAGCAUCUAAGCACGAAACUUGCCCCGAGAUGAGUUCUCCCUGACUCCUUGAGAGUCCUGAAGGAACGUUGAAGACGACGACGUUGAUAGGCCGGGUGUGUAAGCGCAGCGAUGCGUUGAGCUAACCGGUACUAAUGAACCGUGAGGCUUAACCUU